rnacentral:rRNA from 1 species
AAAAACAAAUUUUGUAAGAAUGUUAUGUGUAUUUCAUUUCAUUGUUUUGGACUGGAAAAAUGUUCAGUGUUUUAUAUUGAUGAGGACAUCAAUACCAUUGUUACACCCACAACCCCUACUACUACAUAUACUGGACCAAUUACUAGAGAUCGUGCACGCCAAUUAAAUUAUCAGGUACUUUCAUUUCUUGGUAAUGAUUCUAAUGUUCAUGAGAAUAUGAUGCUGCCUAAAUUGGAUACAUUUGUUUUGCUUACAAAUGAAGGGCCUAGCUUGGAGAAGGAUGAACAUUGGAGCAAGAACAAUCAUGGAGUUGAUGGCAUGCGCAAG